rnacentral:rRNA from 1 species
AUUGAACGCUGGCGGCAUGCCUUACACAUGCAAGUCGAACGGCAGCGGGGGAGAAGCUUGCUUUUCCUGCCGGCGAGUGGCGAACGGGUGAGUAAUACAUCGGAACGUGCCCUGUAGUGGGGGAUAACUAGUCGAAAGAUUAGCUAAUACCGCAUACGACCUGAGGGUGAAAGUGGGGGACCGCAAGGCCUCAUGCUAUAGGAGCGGCCGAUGUCUGAUUAGUUAGUUGGUGGGGUAAAGGCCUAACAAGGCGACGAUCAGUAGCUGGUCUGAGAGGACGAUCAGCCACACUGGGACUGAGACACGGCCCAGACUCCUACGGGAGGCAGCAGUGGGGAAUUUUGGACAAUGGGCGAAAGCCUGAUCCAGCAAUGCCGCGUGUGUGAAGAAGGCCUUCGGGUUGUAAAGCACUUUUGUCCGGAAAGAAAUGGCUCUGGUUAAUACCUGGGGUCGAUGACGGUACCGGAAGAAUAAGGACCGGCUAACUACGUGCCAGCAGCCGCGGUAA